rnacentral:rRNA from 1 species
AGCCACAGCUAUAUCACCCUGCAGCCCGAGACCGUUUACUCACUGAAGUUAAGCAGGCUGAGCCUUGUCGGUAACUAGAUGGGAGACCACAUGGGAAAAACUAGUUUGCUCUUGGAA